GCCGCGGCGAUAGCUGAGUGGGUAAAGCGCAAGGUGAGAAACUCCGAGAGCUAUUAUCUGCGCGGGUUCGAAACCCGCCUGUGGCA
rnacentral:tRNA from 1 species